rnacentral:rRNA from 1 species
GAUGAACGCUGACAGAAUGCUUAACACAUGCAAGUCGAGCGAGGGGAGUUCUUCGGAAUAAACCUAGCGGCGGACGGGCGAGUAACACGUGGGCAACCUGCCUUGUAGAGGGGGAUAGCCUUCCGAAAGGAAGAUUAAUACCGCAUAACAUCAUAGUAUCGCAUGGUACAGUGAUCAAAGGAGCAAUCCGCUACAAGAUGGGCCCGCGGCGCAUUAGCUAGUUGGUGAGGUAACGGCUCACCAAGGCGACGAUGCGUAGCCGACCUGAGAGGGUGAUCGGCCACAUUGGGACUGAGACACGGCCCAGACUCCUACGGGAGGCAGCAGUGGGGAAUAUUGCACAAUGGGGGAAACCCUGAUGCAGCAACGCCGCGUGAGUGAUGAAGGUUUUCGGAUCGUAAAACUCUGUCUUUGGGGACGAUAAUGACGGUACCCAAGGAGGAAGCGACGGCUAACUACGUGCCAGCCGCCGCCGUAAAAC